GUUUUUUCAUUUUCCGAUUCAAAAACCAGUUUUGUGCACCAAAACGAGAAAACGAAAAUCGGAUAACGGGCGUUUGAUUUGGUUUUUCAUAGUUUCGUUUCUGACACGGGGGGUCACCCGGAAGUAGUCUGCGCAGAUUCUUACGUGUUAAAACAGCUGCAGUGCUCGGACAGUAACUGUCUUUCUUUAAGGGAAAUGGAUCGUUUUAUUAGUGUUUGUGACUGUAAAGGGAAAAUCCGAGACCCAAGGACAUGAAAAUACAUCCGUUCCAGGUGAAGUUUCUUUAAGCAAAGUUCCAGAGCAGUUUUUGCCUGAAGAACAGAGGGCAGCUCUACGAGGGAGUACAACGGAGACUAAAGUCCUUUGGAAGAGCCAUUUUUCCUGGACCUGCUGCAUAAGCCUGACUGGUUGUUGAGGAGAGGAGCCGUGAUUCCUGCCUGGAGUGUCGGGCUGAUGAGCUGCAAA
rnacentral:lncRNA from 1 species